UGCUGACGAGUGGCGAACGGGUGAGUAAUGCAUCGGAACGUGCCCAGUCGUGGGGGAUAACGCAGCGAAAGCUGCGCUAAUACCGCAUACGAUCUAUGGAUGAAAGCGGGGGACCGUAAGGCCUCGCGCGAUUGGAGCGGCCGAUGUCAGAUUAGGUAGUUGGUGGGGUAAAGGCUCACCAAGCCGACGAUCUGUAGCUGGUCUGAGAGGACGACCAGCCACACUGGGACUGAGACACGGCCCAGACUCCUACGGGAGGCAGCAGUGGGGAAUUUUGGACAAUGGGCGCAAGCCUGAUCCAGCAAUGCCGCGUGCAGGAAGAAGGCCUUCGGGUUGUAAACUGCUUUUGUACGGAACGAAAAGGCUCUGGUUAAUACCCGGGGCUGAUGACGGUACCGUAAGAAUAAGCACCGGCUAACUACGUGCCAGCAGCCGCGGUAAUACGUAGGGUGCAAGCGUUAAUCGGAAUUACUGGGCGUAAAGCGUGCGCAGGCGGUGAUGUAAGACAGGUGUGAAAUCCCCGGGCUUAACCUGGGAACUGCAUUUGUGACUGCAUCGCUGGAGUGCGGCAGAGGGGGAUGGAAUUCCGCGUGUAGCAGUGAAAUGCGUAGAUAUGCGGAGGAACACCGAUGGCGAAGGCAAUCCCCUGGGCCUGCACUGACGCUCAUGCACGAAAGCGUGGGGAGCAAACAGGAUUAGAUACCGUGGUAG
rnacentral:rRNA from 1 species